ensembl:misc_RNA Y_RNA Y RNA
GGCAUCUUUAAGAAACUUAAAUGAGAUUACAACUAAUUGGUCACAACCAGUUACAGAUUCCUUUUUUCCUUCUCCACUCCCACUGCUUCACUUGACCAGCCUUAG